rnacentral:rRNA from 1 species
AACGAACGCUGGCGGCAGGCCUAACACAUGCAAGUCGAGCGAGCAUUUCGGUGCUAGCGGCGGACGGGUGAGUAACGCGUGGGAACGUGCCCUUUUCUGCGGAAUAGUCCUGGGAAACUGGGGGUAAUACCGCAUACGCCCUUUUGGGGAAAGAUUUAUCGGAGAAGGAUCGGCCCGCGUUGGAUUAGGUAGUUGGUGGGGUAAUGGCCCACCAAGCCGACGAUCCAUAGCUGGUUUGAGAGGAUGAUCGGCCACACUGGGACUGAGACACGGCCCAGACUCCUACGGGAGGCAGCAGUGGGGAAUCUUAGACAAUGGGGGCAACCCUGAUCGAGCCAUGCCGCGUGAGUGAUGAAGGCCUUAGGGUUGUAAAGCUCUUUCAGCUGGGAAGAUAAUGACGGUACCAGCAGAAGAAGCCCCGGCUAACUCCGUG